ensembl:misc_RNA Y_RNA Y RNA
GGCUGGACCAGUGGUGCAGUGGUGUUUACAACUAAUUGAUCACGACUGUUUGCAGAUUCCUUUGUUCCAUCUUCACUCCCACCACUUCACUUGACUAGCCUAAA